GGGAGCCCCGCGUGUCACCGCCGCGGUCGUCGGGGAGCCCCGGGGCUCACCAACGAGGUCACCUGGGAGCCCCGCGGGUCACCGCCGCGGUCACCUGGAAGUGUCACCUGUGUCACUAGGUCACCUAGUGUAUCACACAGGUCACCUAGAAAUUCGUGUCACCGCCAAGGUCACCUAGAAAUUCGUGUCACCGCCGAGGUCCCCUGGGAGCCCCGCGGGUGCCGCACAAGUGCCCCCGCCCUUCCCCCCGGUUCCGGGUCUCCACGCCCUCCUGGUUUGCGGGCAGCCGCGAAGCCGCGAGUGGACCGAGCGAGUGCAGCUGCCUCCGCGGGGCCGCGCCUGGCCGCCGCCUCCCUUUACCUCCGGCCGCCCCGUGGCAGGUGUAGAAGCUGCAGAGGCCGCAGCAGCCCAGCGCGCCCCUUCCGUGUGGCCGCAUGCCACCCGCGCCGCGCCCAGCAUUCCAGCGUCCAACAGAGCAUGCGUGCACCAUUCCAGCAUCCGGCAACAAUGCACCAGCAUUCCAGCGUCCAACAGAGCAUCCGUGUACCAUUCCGGCAUUUGGCAACAAUGCACCAGCAUUCCAGAGUCCAACAGGGCAUGCGUGCACCAUUCCAGCAUCCGGCAACAAUGCACCAGCAUUCCAGCGUCCAACAGAGCGUGCGUGCACCAUUCCAGCAUCCGGCAACAAUGCACCAGCAUUCCAGCGUCCAAAAGAGCAUCCGGCAACAUCCCGGUGUCCAGUGGCACAUGUGCACCUGGACGUUCCAGUGUGGUGAGCUUUCAGGCACGGAGCAAGGCCAAAGGGAUAAAAAGAUGAAGGUGACGCAGUACUCCCCCUUAUAGUGCCUACAGGCCUUAUAGGCCAGACAGAUCUGGAAAUAAAUAAUUCAUAAUAAAAAAUAAUUACAGAAUAAGAGGCAUAAUAACCAGAUAGAAAGUAUUGAAUAAAUCUGUAAGAAAUGGCUGCU
rnacentral:lncRNA from 1 species